AAUUCAUCUAAGCCCACUGCAAAAUAGUUAUAUGAGUCCAUCAACUAAUAAAAGUACAGAGUGUGCACUAAUAGUCUAAUACUCACGCUUCCAUCUUCUUAUUUCUCAUUUUGUCUCAACAUAUCCCUCUCUCUAUAUCUCUUUCUCUUUCUCUUUAAUUUUCGCCAAACAAGAGUUAGUCUCGGUUUCCUUCACGAUCGGAGAUCCAAAUAAUAUCCGAUCGUCACGAAAUUUUAUCCAAAGAUGGAUGACUCAUAAAGCAUCAUUCCUACCGAAGGAGAUCAAACUUUAACGGUUCUAUCUUCUGUUAUUAAACUUUUAAGUGGCUGCCAUUUCAACAGUAACAACGGCGGUUUUGUACACGAUCGGAGGUUCAAACAUUGUCCGAUCGUUCUGAAAUUUUAAAGGAAGGUAAACAACUCUUCUAACUUCACUUUGACCGAAGGAAAUUACAUUUGAACGGUUAGACUUUCCGUUAUAAAUUUCCAAAGGUGCUUAUCUUCCAAAGAGAACAUUUUAGGAGUUUUUGCUACUUUCUAAUUAUUUUAUUGAUUCUAAGACUUUGCAUAUGUUGUAUGUAAAUUAGGCUCAGCAUAGAAUAAAAUGGUUUUCCUACAUGAAUUUGAAAAGAAAGAGUUGAAAGAUUGUUUAUGAAGCAUGCUUAGUUGUGAUUCUAUGUUCUAUAUGAAUUCAUGCUAACAUGACAUGCUUGAUAAAAUCAUGCUUGAAAAGAUUUAACUUGUGGUUUGAGAAUCAUUACCUCAAAAGAAUGAUAAGAGAUUUCUAUGAUGAGCACUCCAAUUUGAAAUUCUCCUUCUUAAAGAAAGCUUGAAAACUUGGUAUUGGAAGGUUGGAAAGUUUUCCGUCUACUUGCUUGAAAAUAAAAUUUGGAGGUGAAAGAGAUUUUGGGUAGACGUGUUGAUAAUGGAAGUUGAUACUUUCUUUUAUCCACUAGCUCCCUACACAAGAGGUAGAAUUGAAGGAGAGUGUUUGUUGGCGAAGCUCCCGGGAUGGUGUAGGAUUUGGAAGUUGGAGUUUCCUGAAGAUAGAAUAUUAGCUUUGCGAAGAAGCUUUAGCUUGUUUUUGUAACAUCAUAAAUUAAAUACAAUUAGUACAUUUCUCAUUUGAAGAGAAAUAGCAAUAUUUUG